rnacentral:rRNA from 1 species
UACGAGGACGAACGCUGGCGGCGUGCUUAAUACAUGCAAGUCAACUUGACUUUAGAUAGCAAUAUCGAAAAGUAGGGUGGCGCACGGGUGCGUAACGCGUAGGUAAUCUGCCCUGAGGUCUGACAUAACCCGUCGAAAGGCGGGCUAACAUCAGAUGAUAUAUAAUCACGACAUCGUGGAAAUAUCAAAUCUUCGGAGCCUUGGGAUGAGCCUGCGUCUGAUUAGGUAGUUGGCGGAGUAAUAGCCCACCAAGCCUACGAUCAGUAGCUGGUCUGAGAGGAUGAUCAGCCACACUGGAACUGAGACACGGUCCAGACUCCUACGGGAGGCAGCAGUAAGGAAUAUUGCUCAAUGGGGGGAAACCCUGAAGCAGCAACGCCGCGUGAAGGAUGAAAUACUUUUGUAUGUAAACUUCUGUAAGAUGGGAAAAAUAUUCUCCUCGGGAGAAUUGAUUGUACCAUCAGAGUAAGCCCCGGCUAACUACGUG